rnacentral:rRNA from 1 species
UACGUAGGGCGCAAGCGUUGUCCGGAAUUAUUGGGCGUAAAGAGCUCGUAGGCGGUCUGUCGCGUCUGCCGUGAAAACCCGAGGCUUAACCUCGGGCUGGCGGUGGAUACGGGCAGACUAGAGGUAGGUAGGGGAGAAUGGAAUUCCCGGUGUAGCGGUGAAAUGCGCAGAUAUCGGGAGGAACACCGGUGGCGAAGGCGGUUCUCUGGGCCUUACCUGACGCUCAGGCGCGAAAGCUAGGGGAGCGAACAGG